rnacentral:misc_RNA from 1 species
GCGCGCUUUUCGAACUCGCGGAUCGAACCUCGAGCUCGAACGAAGGCGCGUUGCACAGUCUCGCGAUCGUCAUCGCGUAGAAACGUGAUUCUCGUUUACGAUAGUUACCACCACGACGUCGGUUUUACUAUUGGCUCGUAUCUGAUGUCGUGACACAACUACUGUGUCCUUGUGAAAAUAUAUAAAAUGCAAUUAUUGUGAAUUUAUUUAUUUCUUUUUUUUUCUUUCUUUUUUCGCAUAUAUUUUUGUAAGAACGAAUUCUUUUUCUUCUCUUUUUUCGCAAUUUCUACGACCCGUUGGUAAAAGAAAAGAACGAAUUUCAAGGAGGACUCUAUCUAGCAUAACAAAAGGAAGGAGGAAGAUAGUCAUUUCGCAAAGAGAUCAUUCGAGGUAGUCUUUUUGAACGAACGCUUGCUGUUACCGUUUGCCUAGUGGUCGAUCAUCGGCUCGUUGAUCGACGCGUUGAUCCGGCUCCCUAGGUGGGAAGUUCAAAGCGGAAGAAGAACUUGGGGGAGAGAGAGAGAGAGAGAGAGAAGGAGAGAAA